UGCAGUCGAGCGAAUGGAUUAAGAGCUUGCUCUUAUGAAGUUAGCGGCGGACGGGUGAGUAACACGUGGGUAACCUACCCAUAAGACUGGGAUAACUCCGGGAAACCGGGGCUAAUACCGGAUAAUAUUUUGAACUGCAUAGUUCGAAAUUGAAAGGCGGCUUCGGCUGUCACUUAUGGAUGGACCCGCGUCGCAUUAGCUAGUUGGUGAGGUAACGGCUCACCAAGGCGACGAUGCGUAGCCGACCUGAGAGGGUGAUCGGCCACACUGGGACUGAGACACGGCCCAGACUCCUACGGGAGGCAGCAGUAGGGAAUCUUCCGCAAUGGACGAAAGUCUGACGGAGCAACGCCGCGUGAGUGAUGAAGGCUUUCGGGUCGUAAAACUCUGUUGUUAGGGAAGAACAAGUGCUAGUUGAAUAAGCUGGCACCUUGACGGUACCUAACCAGAAAGCCACGGCUAACUACGUGCCAGCAGCCGCGGUAAUACGUAGGUGGCAAGCGUUAUCCGGAAUUAUUGGGCGUAAAGCGCGCGCAGGUGGUUUCUUAAGUCUGAUGUGAAAGCCCACGGCUCAACCGUGGAGGGUCAUUGGAAACUGGGAGACUUGAGUGCAGAAGAGGAAAGUGGAAUUCCAUGUGUAGCGGUGAAAUGCGUAGAGAUAUGGAGGAACACCAGUGGCGAAGCGACUUUCUGGUCUGUAACUGACACUGAGCGCGAAAGCGUGGGGAGCAAACAGAUUAGAUACCCUGG
rnacentral:rRNA from 2 species